rnacentral:rRNA from 1 species
CCUACGGGAGGCAGCAGUGAGGAAUAUUGGUCAAUGGACGAGAGUCUGAACCAGCCAAGUAGCGUGAAGGAUGACUGCCCUAUGGGUUGUAAACUUCUUUUAUAUGGGAAUAAAACAGGGUAUGCAUACCCUCUUGUAUGUACCAUAUGAAUAAGGAUCGGCUAACUCCGUGCCAGCAGCCGCGGUAAUACGGAGGAUCCGAGCGUUAUCCGGAUUUAUUGGGUUUAAAGGGAGCGUAGGUGGAUUGUUAAGUCAGUUGUGAAAGUUUGCGGCUGAACCGUAAAAUUGCAGUUGAAACUGGCAGUCGUGAGUACAGUAGAGGUAGGCGGAAUUCGUGGUGUAGCGGUGAAAUGCUUAGAUAUCACGAAGAACUCCGAUUGCGAAGGCAGCUCAAGGGACUGCAACUGACACUGAUGCUCGAAAGUGUGGGUAUCAAACAGGAUUAGAGACCCCAGUAGUC